AGCUGGCGGCGUGCUUGAUACAUGCAAGUCGAACGGAGAGUGUAGCAAUAUACUUUUAGUGGCGAACGGGUGAGUAACGCGUUGGUGACCUGCCCCGAAGCGAGGGAUAACAGUUCGAAAGAACUGCUAAUACCUCAUAUGAUCACCGGUUUUAGAAUCUGGUGAUUAAAGGUGAAAAUCACUUCGGGAGGGGCCUGCGUCCCAUCAGCUAGUUGGUAAGGUAAUGGCUUACCAAGGCGAUGACGGGUAGGGGACCUGAGAGGGUGGCCCCCCACAAUGGAACUGAAACACGGUCCAUACACCUACGGGUGGCAGCAGUAGGGAAUAUUGCAAAUGGGCGAAAGCCUGAUGUAGCAACGCCGCGUGUGCGAUGAAGGUCUUCGGAUUGUAAAGCACUUUUUGGAGGGAUGAGGAAGGACAGUACCUCCAGAAUAAGCCUCGGCUAACUACGUGCCAGCAGCCGCGGUAACACGUAGGAGGCAAGCGUUAUUCGGAUUUACUGGGCGUAAAGCGCGUGCAGGCGGUUUGGAAAGUUGGAUGUGAAAGCUCCUGGCUCAACUGGGAGAGGUCGUUCAAAACUUCCAGACUUGAGAGUGGUAGAGGGAGGUGGAAUUCCGGGUGUAGUGGUGAAAUGCGUAGAUAUCCGGAGGAACACCAGUGGCGAAAGCGGCCUCCUGGACCACUUCUGACGCUCAGACGCGAAAGCUAGGGUAGCAAACGGGAUUAGAGACCCCGGUAGUCCUAGCUGUAAACGAUGUGAACUUGGCGUUGGUGGGUUUAAAUCCAUCAGUGCCGAAGCUAACGCGAUAAGUUCACCGCCGGGGGACUACGGCCGCAAGGUUAAAACUCAAAUGAAUUGACGG
rnacentral:rRNA from 1 species